UACGGGGGGGGUAAGCGUUGUUCGGAAUUACUGGGCGUAAAGGCUCGUAGGCGGCCAACUAAGUCGGAUGUGAAAUCCCCCAGGCUCAACCUGGGAACUGCAUCCGAUACUGGAUGGCUUGAAUCCGGGAGAGGGAUGCAGAAUUCCAGGUGUAGCGGUGAAAUGCGUAGAUAUCUGGAGGAAUACCGGUGGCGAAGGCGGCAUCCUGGACCGGCAUUGACGCUGAGGAGCGAAAGCUAGGGAGCAAACGGG
rnacentral:rRNA from 1 species